rnacentral:rRNA from 1 species
AACGAACGCUGGCGGCAUGCCUAACACAUGCAAGUCUAACGAGACCUUCGGGUCUAGUGGCGCACGGGUGCGUAACGCGUGGGAACCUGCCUUUAGGUUCGGAAUAACUCAGAGAAAUUUGAGCUAAUACCGGAUGAUGUCUUCGGACCAAAGAUUUAUCGCCUUUAGAUGGGCCCGCGUUGGAUUAGCUAGUUGGUGGGGUAAAGGCCUACCAAGGCGACGAUCCAUAGCUGGUCUGAGAGGAUGAUCAGCCACACUGGGACUGAGACACGGCCCAGACUCCUACGGGAGGCAGCAGUGGGGAAUAUUGGACAAUGGGCGAAAGCCUGAUCCAGCAAUGCCGCGUGAGUGAUGAAGGCCUUAGGGUUGUAAAGCUCUUUUACCCGAGAUGAUAAUGACAGUAUCGGGAGAAUAAGCUCCGGCUAACUCCGUG